rnacentral:rRNA from 1 species
UACGUAGGGGGCAAGCGUUGUCCGGAAUCAUUGGGCGUAAAGAGCGUGUAGGCGGUCCGGUCAGUCGGUUGUGAAAGUCAAGGGCUCAACCCUUGAAUGGCGGCCGAUACUGCCGGGCUAGAGUCCGGAAGAGGUGAGUGGAAUUCCUGGUGUAGCGGUGAAAUGCGCAGAUAUCAGGAGGAACACCAGCGGCGAAGGCGGUGCUCUGGGCCGGAACUGACGCUGAGGAGCGAAAGCGUGGGGAGCGAACAGG